rnacentral:rRNA from 1 species
UACGAAGGGGGCUAGCGUUGCUCGGAAUCACUGGGCUUAAAGCGCGCGUAGGCGGACCUGCAAGUCGGGGGUGAAAGCCCGAGGCUCAACCUCGGAACUGCCUUCGAUACUGCGGGUCUCGAGUCCGGGAGAGGUGAGUGGAAUUCCUAGUGUAGAGGUGAAAUUCGUAGAUAUUAGGAAGAACACCAGUGGCGAAGGCGGCUCACUGGCCCGGUACUGACGCUGAGGCGCGAAAGCGUGGGGAGCAAACAGG